GAACAUUGCUCAGUGGUAAAACACUUGCUUUACAUGCAAGUGAUCCUGGGUUCAGUCCUCAGAAUCCUCA